rnacentral:lncRNA from 10 species
UUCAAGACAGGGUCUCAUUUUGUCUCCAAGGCCGAAGUGCAAUGGUGGUGCUGCUAUUAUGGCUCACUGCAGACUCGACCUCCCAGGCUCAGAAAAUCCUCUCACCUCAUCCUCCUGAGCACAGAACUAGACUGUAUGUCCCAGCCUCCCUUGUAUUUGGGUGUGGACAUGUGACUGAGUUCUAACCAAUGAAUAUGAGUGGAAGUGAAGCCAUAUCCCAUGCGUCACUCCCAUGCAAAUUCCCAGGGCAUCUGACACAGAAAGAAGAUGUGUGACUUACUCAAUGAAGGCUUGGAUUCCAGUAGGAACUCCCAGCAUGCCACAGCACUUCAAGACCAGAAAAUGGAUUCUACCUGUUUUAAGAUUUCCUGUAUUUAGCAAACAUGCAUCGAGUAUUUACUGUGUGCCUGGCCCCAUGCCAGGAGAAGGAAGACAGAAUUGAUGGGGAGUUGCCUAGCCUGGUUGCAUAGAAAAGAAGACACAGAUCCUCAGUGCCACAAUUCACAAAAUGGCCCAGGACAUUGUCACCUUUCCCUUGGAGUUGUCCAGCUUUGUGGAAUUGGAUGAGGGCUGCUGAGGAAUGGUGACAAUGAGGAAUUAACCACUGGUCUACUUUAUAACAUAUGUCCUCACACAGUUCAGUUUUUCUUCAUCUUCCAACUGUUGGAUCCAACUUCCAAUACCACCACGUCUGUGGCCUUUCUGCCCACAGCCAUAAUCUGGUUAGACUGCGGUAUAAUAUAGCUCACAUCAAGGAUAGAGAAACGUAUUCUUGAUUGCAGCUGGGGGUUAUGAGAAGGUGACACUGAUUAGAUCUGCAAUAAACUGAGACCAGCUACCUCAGAGCUAAACAGCCUGCAUUGCCAAGGGAGGAAUGGCGUGCUGUUGGACAAUGUGUCUGUUGAUGCACAUUUUCAUAAAUUGUUUACUGACCCUGUGGGGUAACAUAAAUACUUAGCAGCUAACACACCCCCUAAUUUGUAGUAACAAUCUCUCAUCACAUGCAUACUAUUAACAUAUUAGGCAAUACACAUUUCUGUACUUUGACUUUUUAAAGUAAUAAUGUUCUUGAGGAAAUAGAAAAUCAUGAUCACAAUUUAUUUCAGAGGGUGUUUAGUAAUUUACCAUGCAUCUGUGAAAUGUUACUUAAUCCUGGGUGGUCUGUGUGCAUAAUUAUGUUUUAAUUUGCACAUGAUUGCUGACUUUCAUAUCACUUAAACAAUCAGGAUGCAUCAAAUGACUGGUUGUUGUCUUAUAACAUUUUGUUUUCCCCUUUGGAACUAUUGGAAAGAGACCAUCACAUCCCACAACCAUCUGUGAUAUCGCCUGUGUAUUGCUGAAUAUUGAAUAGAUAUUAUGAGUAUUGAAUUUGGCAUCAUUUCUGUGGUCAUAUUUCUAUGUGAUUUUCAUUGCCUACUGAAAAGAAAAUGAAAAGAGGAAGGAAAAUAAUUAAAAGUUCUCUAGGCUCUGCAGAAC